rnacentral:misc_RNA from 1 species
GAGAUGAAUGCGAACAAAUAGAUACUUUCAAGCGUGGAGAUUUUGUUUUUUGGUCAAGGUUUUGAGUAGGAAUAGUUCUGUAAUCUCAUUUAAUUUUGUUUUAUUCAAGUUAAUGCAGACUACAUAGAUUAUUGAACUUCCAAGAAGAUGCAAUGUGCUUCGGCAUCGCUUUUUCCAUGGUAUGGAGCAUUUCAUUUUAAUGUCAUGUAAACUAGGCGAAACCAAUUUUCUGAAUCAAGCUUAUGCACG